rnacentral:rRNA from 1 species
AGCUUUUUGGGAUUUUAUUUAAAAGUAUUUUCUGCUCGGUGUUUAUUAACAGCCGCGGUAAUUUGACCGUGCAAAGGUAGCAUAAUCAUUUGCCCCAUAAUUGGGGGCUAGCAUGAAUGGAUGAACGAGGGCUUAACUGUCUCCUUCUUGGUUUUUGAAUUUGUAGUUAGUGUGAAGAUACAUUAAUUUUUAAAAAAGACAAGAAGACCCUUUUGAGCUUUACUUUUUUUUUUUUCUUUAUGUUUCUUAAUUAGUUUGGUUGGGGCGACCAAGGAAGAUAAUUUUUAUUUAUUUUAUGUUUGUUUUAAUAAGGAUCUUCCUUUGUUUUUUUUUGAACCAUGCUUUUUGGUUUAUAGAUUAAGUUACCAAAGGGAUAACAGCGUAAUUUUUUUUAAAAGUUCUUAUUAAAAAAAAAGAUUGCGACCUCGAUGUUGACUUAUAAUUUCCUUUUGGUGCAGUAGCUAAAAAGGUGGGUCUGUUCGACCUUUAAUAUUUU